rnacentral:lncRNA from 1 species
AUGGGUUCGAUUCCCACAAAGGGGGCAUUAUUGCUUAGUGGAGAUGGAUAUGAUCGGGUGAUUCUACUGGUGGCACGAUGAUAUUCCAGUGAUCCGUCAUGAUCCAAAUUUGCCGUUCGAAAAAAAAAACAUAAUAUAAAAUAAUAAAUGCAAUAAAAAAUUUUUUUGAUACAAACCACGUGCAAUAUCCAUUAGUCAGCUAUUAUCUUCCCAAAACCAUUUACCCAAACCCAAUAUCAAAACAACCAUAGUUAUUUCAUUUCUCAAAAUUCCUUCGUCAGCUAUUGUAGACCAUUGGAGGGGCGCGGCCACCUCACCACGGUGGUCAGCGGCUGAGCAUCACCUUCACGAAGCACCUCCCUCCUUCACCCUUUGUUCUUGAAUCUUGACCCGUGAUAUCACUGAUAGACGACGUCCAGAUACGGGGGUCGUAAACCGGCAAAAACUGAUGCUCCGGUCGUAAACUGGCGGCUAUGGUAAAGAGUGGUUUUUAGCCAAUCCACCGUCACAGCCAUCACUUGCCCCAUCGAAAUGUCACUGCUGUCAUCACCGUUGGCUCGUUGCGGUAAAAGAACGUGGUCUAGUAAGUAGUAACAACGCCGCCGUCGUCACCGUUGGCUUCGUCGGAGAAGCCAAACGUCACAGCCAUGACUUGCCCCCACCGAAAUGUCACUGCGUGAUCACUGUCGCCACCUCUGUUCUUGAUCCACCGUCGUCAUAGUCGGUCACACACCGGAGAACCCGUGAACAGCAAAGAAAGUCGAGCAGAGGAGGUCCACGUCGAUGGCAGGUGGCAUCGCAUUCUGUCUUCCAUAUCUCUGACUCAAAUGUCAAAUCUCAAAUGUCUACUUGAUGAUAAAUAACCAAAGUCAGGGGCUGAAGUUGUAAAAGCAGAAAUUUCGUGUGACGCCGUUACCGUCAUUUCACUAUUAUUCGGUUAUGUUUGAAAUUAAUAUAGGUAUACAAUUUGUUGAUUAUAAUGUUGUGUGGCUAUACACAUAUGUUGCGUUAUAAUCACAUGGAUGUAUAUACCUCUUGUCUUAAGUACACAUGUUACAUGAU